GUAGGGAAUCUUGCGCAAUGGGCGAAAGCCUGACGCAGCCAUGCCGCGUGAAUGAUGAAGGUCUUAGGAUUGUAAAAUUCUUUCACCGGGGACGAUAAUGACGGUACCCGGAGAAGAAGCCCCGGCUAACUUCGUGCCAGCAGCCGCGGUAAUACGAAGGGGGCUAGCGUUGCUCGGAAUUACUGGGCGUAAAGGGAGCGUAGGCGGAUAGUUUAGUCAGAGGUGAAAGCCCAGGGCUCAACCUUGGAAUUGCCUUUGAUACUGGCUAUCUUGAGUAUGGAAGAGGUAUGUGGAACUCCGAGUGUAGAGGUGAAAUUCGUAGAUAUUCGGAAGAACACCAGUGGCGAAGGCGACUCACUGGCCCGUUACUGACGCUGAGGCGCGAAAGCGUGGGGAGCAAACAGGAUUAGAUACCCCGGUAGUCC
rnacentral:rRNA from 1 species